GGAUAUGAUUCAAUUAUUAAAAUAUAUGAAUUUUGAAUAGUUUUGUGCCAAAUGUUGAUGCCUUUUUACUCUGGUAAUCUUCCAGAUAUGUUCACUUUUGAACAAUGUUGAGAGGGUAUACUGCAAGUAAUACUUGCUGUGAUGAAUGAAACUGCUGUAGUGUUUGGGCAAGGUAAGAAAACUAUUUUUCAGCUUCUUAAAUCUGUUCUAAUUAAUGAUGAUCCUAGCACAUGUCUUAUAUUAAUAUAUGUGACAAAUAGAAAACUAAAUGCAUUUCAAAAUUAUAUGCAAUAUUUGCAAAUUAGCAUAUUAAAUUUUCUUUAUUUUGAAUGUUGCUGUGAUGAAUGAAACUGCUGUAGUGUUUGGGCAAGAAUCUUAAAGAUCAACAAAUGAAAUACGUUAAAUGCAGUGAUGGCUGACUUGUCUUGCAUACAUAAUUUUCAUCAAAAACCAAU
rnacentral:lncRNA from 1 species